rnacentral:rRNA from 1 species
CUAGCGUUGCUCGGAAUCACUGGGCGUAAAGCGCACGUAGGCGGAUUGUUAAGUCAGGGGUGAAAUCCUGGAGCUCAACUCCAGAACUGCCUUUGAUACUGGCGAUCUUGAGUCCGGGAGAGGUGAGUGGAACUGCGAGUGUAGAGGUGAAAUUCGUAGAUAUUCGCAAGAACACCAGUGGCGAAGGCGGCUCACUGGCCCGGUACUGACGCUGAGGUGCGAAAGCGUGGGGAGCAAACAGG